rfam:Scleropages formosus scaffold30209, whole genome shotgun sequence.
UUGAUGAUCGUUCUUGAUCUUUUUUGGAAGGUUAAGAGGGAAAGGACACGUUCUGAGUGGU